rnacentral:rRNA from 5 species
AAACUUUCAACAACGGAUCUCUUGGUUCCCGCAUCGAUGAAGAACGCAGCGAAACGCGAUAGUUAAUGUGAAUUGCAGAAUUCAGUGAAUCAUCGAGUCUUUGAACGCACAUUGCGCCUCCUGGUAUUCCGGGAGGCACGCCCGUUUGAGCGUCAGC